CAAAACAGCACCAUUUUCUCCACCCUAUCCUCCAAAAAGAAACAUAAGAAAAGAAAAUCAAGUCUAUUAACAAAUGGAUGCUUAAUUUAAGCAGUAUAUUAAAAAAAAUAAUAAAAGUAAAGUGCAUCUUCUCACACUUUUAAACCAGAUACACUAGCCUGGAAUUUAUAUUUCUUCUAAAACUUCCAAUAAAUGAGCAUGCUCACAUGAUAUGAUAGUUGUUGCAUGA
rnacentral:misc_RNA from 1 species